CAAUAGCGUAUAUUAAAGUUGUUGCAGUUAAAAAGCUCGUAGUUGGAUUUCUGGUCGGAAGCUCCUGUCCUCUGAUGAGCGUACAAGUGCGUCCUACCAUCCUUCUGUUAACCUUUAAGGCUUUCGCGGCUUUCUAGGGGCUCAGAUAUUUUACCUUGAGAAAAUUAGAGUGUUUCAGGCAGGCUAGCGCCGGAAUACAUUAGCAUGGAAUAAUGGAAUAGGACUUUUGCCUCUUCUGUUGGUCAUGAGGCUCGAGUAAUGAUUAAUAGGGAUAGUUGGGGGUAUUAGUACUUAACUGUCAGAGGUGAAAUUCUCGGAUUUGUUAAAGACUAACUUAUGCGAGAGCAUUUGCCAAGGAUGUUUUCAUUAA
rnacentral:rRNA from 1 species